rnacentral:rRNA from 1 species
AGUGAACGCUGGCGGUAGGCCUAACACAUGCAAGUCGAACGGCAGCACAGUAAGAGCUUGCUCUUACGGGUGGCGAGUGGCGGACGGGUGAGGAAUACAUCGGAAUCUACUUUUUCGUGGGGGAUCACGUAGGGAAACUUACGCUAAUACCGCAUACGACCUACGGGUGAAAGCAGGGGAUCUUCGGACCUUGCGCGGUUGAAUGAGCCGCUUUCGGAUUAGCUAGUUGGGUGGGUAAAGGCCCACCAAGGCGACGAUCCGUAGCUGGUCUGAGAGGAUGGUCAGCCACACUGGAACUGAGACACGGUCCAGACUCCUACGGGAGGCAGCAGUGGGGAAUAUUGGACAAUGGGCGCAAGUCUGAUCCAGUCAUACCGCGUGUGUGAAGAAGGCGUUCGGGUUGUAAAGCCCUUUUGUUGGGAAAGAAAAGCAGCAGGUUAAUACCCCGCUGUUCUGACGGUACCCAAAGAAUAAGCACCGGCUAACUUCGUG